GAAAUGCGAUACUUGGUGUGAAUUGCAGAAUCCCGUGAACCAUCGAGUCUUUGAACGCAAGUUGCGCCCGAAGCCUUAUGGUCGAGGGCACGUCUGCCUGGGAGUCACACAUCGCGUCUCCCCCAACCCACCUCGUGUGGGCGGGGGGAGGAGGAUGGCUUCCCGCGCCUCGAAUGCAAUCUCGUGUCGUGCAGUACAUGGCAAUUGUGGGCUCGUAGGACCCUGUUCCCAAUUGGAAACAAACUGUUGCGACCCCAGGUCAGGCGGGGUUACCCGCUGAGUUUAA
rnacentral:misc_RNA from 1 species